rnacentral:lncRNA from 1 species
UACAGACAUUACCCUCUCUAUAUACAGGAGAGAAAAUGAAGUUAAUAUUCUUUACAAAAAACAAACAGUUCUACCAUCUAUUCCUAAGGACCCAGGGAACAUUUGCAGAAGACUUGAGUGCCAAGCAAACCAGUUGAGAGUCAGUUUCCAACCAUAAAUGAAUGUAACCUUUACUUUGAGCAGUUUCCAUGGCAAGAAUA